UCUCUUUUCGGACUCAGCCCGCCUGCACCCAGGUGAAAUAAACAGCCGUGUUGCUCACACAAAGCCUGUUUGGUGGUCUCUUCACAUGGACUCCAGUGAAACUUUCCAUUAGGGAGACACAACAGGUUGGCCUGGCAGGAUUUCAUAUCAGGGAGGCCCCAGGUAUGAGCUGACAUGCACUGGUUGGCAUUCAUGUCCUGACACAUGAUCAUAAAAAAUUUUUUUAGAAAACGUGGGUGAUGAGCUGCACUGCACCUUAAGGACCCAGGAGGAUGGGAAGCCAGGGAUACUUGGGUUUCCCUCCCACUCAGCACCUUUUCUUAGGGUCUCUUUUCAGCUCAAGCCACAAGGACUGUAGGCGUGAUUUCAGUUGGGAGACAUCCCCCAUUGGAUGGCACUGGAGUUGAAGAGGGGAAGAAGGCAAUAGAAGUGAGGAAGAGUGCUCAAUGGUGCCCAGGCUGGAGUGCAGUGGCGUGAUCUCGGCUCGCUACAACAUCCACCUCCCAGCAGCCUGCCUUGGCCUCCCAAAGUGCCGAGAGUGCAGCCUCUGCCCCGCCGCCACCCCGUCUGGGAAGUGAGGAGCGUCUCUGCCUGGCCGCCCAUCGUCUGGGAUGUGAGGAGCCCCUCUGCCUGGCUGCCCAGUCUGGAAAGUGAGGAGCGUCUCUGCCCAGCCGCCACCCCAUCUAGGAAGUGAGGAGCGCCUCUUCCCAGCCGCCAUCCCAUCUAGGAAGUGAGGAGCGUCUCUGCCCGGCCGCCCCGUCUAAGUGAGGAGACCCUCUGCCUGGCAACCGCCCUGUCUGAGAAGUGAGGAGCCCCUCCGCCCAGCAGCCGCCCCGUCUGAGAAGUGAGGAGCCCCUCCGCCCGGCAGCCACCCCGUCUGGGAAGUGAGGAGCGUCUCCGCCCGGCAGCCACCCCAUCCGGGAGGGAGGUGGGGGGGUCAGCCCCCCGCCCGGCCAGCCGCCCCAUCCGGGAGGUGAGGGGCGCCUCUGCCCAGCCGCCCCUACUGGGAAGUGAGGAGCCC
rnacentral:lncRNA from 1 species